rnacentral:tRNA from 1 species
GUGGCAGUAGCUCAGUGGUGAAGCUCCCGUUUCGUACGUGGGAAGACCUGGGUUCGAUCCCCGGUUGCUUUC